rnacentral:rRNA from 1 species
AGCAGUAGCCACGGGAAUACGGAGGGGGCUAGCGUUGUUCGGAAUUACUGGGCGUAAAGGGCGCGUAGGUGGUUAUGUAAGUGAGAUGUGAAAUCCCCGGGCUCAACCUGGGAACUGCAUCUUAUACUGCGUAGCUGGAGUGCAGUAGGGGGUAGUGGAAUUUCCGGUGUAGCGGUGAAAUGCGUAGAUAUCGGAAGGAACACCAGUGGCGAAGGCGGCUACCUGGACUGACACUGACACUGAGGCGCGAAAGCGUGGGGAGCAAACAGGAUUAGAUACCCCCGUAGUCCCUGUCUCUUAUAC